GAUCAUGGCUCAGGAUGAACGCUAGCGACAGGCUUAACACAUGCAAGUCGAGGGGCAUCAUGAGGUAGCAAUACCUUGAUGGCGACCGGCGCACGGGUGAGUAACGCGUAUGCAACCUGCCUGAUACCGGGGUAUAGCCCAUGGAAACGUGGAUUAACACCCCAUAGUACUUUUAUCCUGCAUGGGAUGUGAGUUAAAUGUUCAAGGUAUCGGAUGGGCAUGCGUCUA
rnacentral:rRNA from 1 species